GUUAGACCAAAAAAAAAUGAAAAAUGAAAAAAAAAUGUUUGGGGUUUUCGGGCUUCCUGAAAGUAAUACCCGGGUAUUAGAUUUUAAGGUUAGGGUAAGGUUUAAGUUUUUUGGCGUUAGGGUUAAAAUCACUGUCCAAAACCUUUGUAGGAACUCUUUUCCUACCUUUUGGAGUUAGUUAGACCAAAAAAAAAUGAAAAAUGAAAAAAAAAUAUUUGGGGUGUUCAGGCUUCCUAAAAGUAAUACCCGGGUAUUAGGUUAUGGGGCUAUGGUAAGGUUUAAAGUUUUUGGCAUUAGGGUUAAAAUCACUGUCCAAAACCUUUGUAGGAACUCUUUCCCAACCUUUUGGAGUUAGUUAGACCAAAAAAAAAUGUAAAAUGAAAAAAAAAUGUUUGGGGUUUUCGGGCUUCCUGAAGGUAAUACCCGGGUAUUAGGUUAUGGGGCUAUGGUAUGGUUUAAGGUUUUUGGCAUUCGGUUUAAAAUCACUGUCCAAA